rnacentral:misc_RNA from 1 species
UGAGAAAGAACUUUCGGAGCUAUUCUUAUUCUAAUAAUUUAGAUAAUUCUCGUGUAAGGUCCACAAUUGAUGCCUAAUAAAGACAAGCUUGAACCAUUCUUCAUCCAGAAAUUACAAGAAUUAUCCAAAUCCUUGGCCUAUAGGCUUCACCAAUCUAAUACAACUUGUUUAUAAUCCUUAUAAAAAAUUUGCAAUCAUGGGCCCAAGACUACUAUAAUUUGUAUUUCUUUACAAAUCAGAUCAAAAUCAACAGAUUGAUCCAACAGAUUAAUAUUUUAAUGCAUGUACAAUUGGACCAUAAUUAAUUAUCAGUCAAUGAAUUGAUUAUGGGCACAAUUCAAAGUUGGUCCAAUACUGAAUUAAACUGGUUCUAUAAUUCUUGAGCAGCCCCUAAAACAAGCUUAAUUGACUCUGAAAUUAUAAUGCAUCCUAAUGACCUUUAGAUAUUUUAACUAAAUGACUUCACACAGCAACAUACAUGAGAAUAAAUGUAAUAUCACUAAUUACUUGUAUCAAUGUG